UGGGAUCAAAUGAUGAUUAGAAGCAUAGUUCAAAUGAUACAUUAUGUGAUUAUAAAUUUGUAUAGUCUUUCGCUCCUAUCUGAUGAUUCCC
rnacentral:snoRNA from 1 species